rnacentral:tRNA from 1 species
GGGAGCAUAGCUCAGCUGGGAGAGCGCUUGCCUUACAAGCAAGAUGUCACAGGUUCGAGUCCUGUUGUUCCCACCA